GCCCACAACAAAACAAUUGUUCGUUUAACCCCGCCCGGGCGUCGACCCCAGUCCACCCCAGCUAAUCUCAGCCCAACCCUCACCGGGAAAUCUCCCUCGUCUCCUGGUAGUGGAACGAAACCACGACAAGCGAGCGUGUGAUCCCUACGACACAGCCGCGCAACGGCGCGAGGUGGCGGCGGCUACACGGUCGAUGGAGGCGGCUACGACAUAGAUCCGUGCAAUCGAACGAAACCACGACACGUGAGCGCUACGACGCAGAGACGUGCGACGGCGUGAGGUGGCGGCGGCAGCUACGACGGUCCAGGGAGGCGGCUACGACACGGAUCCGUGCAAUCCCUUUGGUGCCUGUUUCUCGCUGAUUAUCCCUGCACCAGUUCGAGUUGGAGAAGACGAACUUCCACUGUCUUGGGACUCUAUACUCUCUCUUUUAGUUACCAAUUGAUGUGGCACUAAGAGAUCACCUUAGAAAGAGAAGAGAUGAGGAUGAUGAUGAUAUGAUACUGUUUUCCCCUAUGCUACAUAUAUUGGGCUCUAGUUCAAACAUAGCAACGGAAAAGAAGCGAAGGCAUACAUCAAAGUUAAGUGGUGAAGAACAUGUUCAGGAGUUGCUUUAAGGUCAUUUGAACAACUGUCGGGUAGCGUUCAAGAUGGAGCCUGAAAUUUUCAAAUCGUUGGCAAGUUUUUUUUGCUCUACAUUGAGUCAUGUGGUAUAUACUAAAUUGUAAAGUUGGUUCUACCAUGAGGUACUUGUUUUAGUCAUUAUGUUCAUUGUUUUUAAACCAAUAAAUUGAAUAUUCUCCUUGUUUAAAUAGCUUAUAGUUGCUUAUAUGUAUUUACAAUGGCAUUUUUCUUUUUAUGA